GGAUGCGAUCAUACCAGCACUAAAGCACCGGAUCCCAUCAAAACUUCGAAGUUAAGCGUGCUUGGGCGAGAGUAGUACUAGGAUGGGUGACCUCCUGGGAAGUCCUCGUGUUGCAUUCC
rnacentral:rRNA from 16 species